rnacentral:misc_RNA from 1 species
ACGCAUAAUGGGUUGAACCUGUUUGGCUAGUUUCUCGAGCAUCUUCUUAGCUUCUUCUUCUCCUGGUUUCUUUAGGGCUUCGAUUUCCCAUACUUUAUGUAAAUCCCCCAAAUUCAUCUCUUUCUUCUUCUGGAAUGGACAAAAUCAAAACCCUAAUAAACCCCAAGAAUCCAAUAUUUAAGAGAAAUUCGUUAAUCGAAACCCAUCGCCUUCGUUUUUAUCAGUGUUGUGAUCGGAUUCAGAAUUCUCAUUUCCUUAAUCGAAACUGCAACUCUGCAAGGAAACGAUCACUAUUGAAACGAUCACUAUUGUAAUUUUUCGACGGGUUUCUGAUUUCGUUGCGUGCGAGGUUGGAGUCUUGGAGACUUGGCGGGAUUUUGAACACAACGCGAUGCGAGUUGAUUCUGUUCUGUCCAGCGGUCUGG